rnacentral:rRNA from 1 species
UUGAACGCUGGCGGCAUGCCUUACACAUGCAAGUCGAACGGUAACGCGGGGCAACCUGGCGACGAGUGGCGAACGGGUGAGUAAUGCAUCGGAACGUGCCCAGUAGUGGGGGAUAGCCCGGCGAAAGCCGGAUUAAUACCGCAUACGACCUACGGGUGAAAGCGGGGGACCGCAAGGCCUCGCGCUAUUGGAGCGGCCGAUGUCGGAUUAGCUAGUUGGUGGGGUAAGGCCUACCAAGGCGACGAUCCGUAGCUG